GCUCAGUUCAGUGUGUGUCUCCUCUUUCAAAGGACGCAAGGGUGGGAACAAGUCGCCCAACAAAGCAUGUUACAGCGCAGACAUGACUUGUCAGUCAGACAGCGAGAAAAUCGUAAUAAACUGCGGAGGGGUGCGACACGAGACUUAUCGCAGCACCCUCAAGACGUUGCCCGGUACCCGGUUAUCUUGGCUUACCGAUCCAGACGCGUUUAGCAACUUCGACUACGACCCCAAAACGGACGAGUUCUUCUUCGACCGCCACCCCGGCACAUUCACAUUCAUCCUGAAUUACUAUCGAACCGGCAAGCUCCACUGUCCCAACGAUGUGUGCGGCCCACUGUUCGAGGAGGAGCUUGCCUUCUGGGGCAUCGACGAGACGGACGUCGAGGCGUGCUGCUGGAUGAACUACCGCCAACACAGGGAUGCGGAAGAGGCGCUGGACAGCUUCGAGCAGCCUGAGCCAGAGGAGCCGGAGGACGACAUGGCGCUGACUGGAGAUGGAGAGCUCAAGAGGCUGUGCCUGCAUGAGGACGGGCGCAAGAGAAGCUGGUGGAGUGUGUGGCAGCCAUAUUUCUGGAAUCUUUUUGAGGAUCCUUAUUCUUCCAAAAAUGCCAAGUACUGUGCGUUCAUCUCCUUGUUGUUCAUCCUCAUCUCCAUCACCACGUUCUGCCUGGAGACGCACGAGGCCUUCAACAAAAUCUACAACAAAACAGAGAACGUGACGGUGGGCAAUGUGACCCGCGAGGAGAUCAUCUACGAGGUGGUGACGGACGGCUGGCUCACGUACGUGGAGGGCAUGUGCGUCAUCUGGUUCACCAUCGAGGUGAUGAUGCGCGUGAUCUUCUGCCCCUGCAAGAAGGAGUUCUUCAGCAGCACCCUGAACAUCAUCGACUUCAUCGCCAUCAUGCCCUUCUACCUUGAAGUGGCACUCAGCGGACUGGAUUCCAAAGCCGCCAAGGACGUGCUGGGCUUCCUGCGCGUGGUCCGCUUCGUCCGCAUCCUGCGUAUCUUCAAGCUGACUCGUCACUUCGUGGGGCUUCGUGUCCUGGGCCACACGCUCCGCGCCAGCACCAACGAGUUCCUCCUGCUCAUCAUCUUCCUUGCGCUCGGCGUGCUCAUCUUCGCCACCAUGAUCUACUACGCCGAGCGGAUCGGCGCCGACCCGGACGACCCCACGGGCGCCAAACACACAACCUUCAAGAACAUCCCCAUCGGGUUCUGGUGGGCCGUGGUCACCAUGACCACGCUGGGCUACGGGGACAUGUACCCCGAGACGUGGUCGGGGAUGCUGGUGGGCGCGCUCUGCGCCCUGGCCGGGGUGCUGACCAUUGCCAUGCCUGUCCCCGUCAUCGUCAACAACUUUGGCAUGUACUACUCGCUGGCCAUGGCCAAGCAGAAGCUUCCCAAGAGGAAGGGCAAGCACAUCCCGCGGCCCACCAUGCCUGGCUCGCCCAACUACUGCAAGCCGGAUGCCUUGGCAAUGGCCACUGCCGGUCCGGGCAUGGUGUGCUCGGGUAGCCUGGGGGGAGGGGACUGCCCCCUUGCCCAGGAGGAGAUCAUCGAGAUCAACAGGACAGACUCUAAGCAGAAUGGAGACGCAGCCAACGCGGCCCUGGCCAAUGAGGACUGCCCCACCAUUGACAUGGUGCUGGGGGAGGAGAGGAGUCCGGCCGCUGGCGGCCUGAGCACUGGGGGGAGCCGGGAGCGCUACCCCCACGACCGGGCCUGCUUCCUCCUGAGCACGGGAGAGUUCCGCGCCACCGACGGCAACGUGAGGAAAGGACAUCCCCAGUCAUUGCACCUGCGUAGCAUAACUAAAGUUUGAUCCAAGAGGGCACUGUGAAUGGAGGAUGGACUGACAGCGCUUGGUAGAAGAACCCAACAAACCAAUGACAAAAUGAACAAAAAAGGCAACAUACAUAUAUAGAAAUAUGCAAUGUAUAGAAAUAUAUUUGUAUCUAUGUAUAGUUAAUCUUAUGGAGAUGUGCUGUGUGCUGUGUAUCUGUGGCACACAUAUGGUUUUGUGUGCACAGACAUGCAUCUACCUCCAGCCCAAGAUGCAAGAGUGCCAAUUCAUCCAAACGACAGAUCUUUCCUUACUUUCUCACUGUUUUCUGGAGAAAAAAAAGGAGGAUACAUGUUUUCCUUCCAUAUCAGAGAUCAGAAAGAGACUAACUUUUUCAAAUCUCAAUUUUCUUUUGAAAUAGUUUGAUGAAAAGGAAAUGGGUAUGAAUGUCAAUGCUAUGACCAUUCUAUGUUUAUAUACCCACUGUCGAUGUUUUGUUAUUGUCACUCAUGAUUGUAUAUUUUUAUUUAAGCGGUUCAUUUACAGAAUUGUUUAUUUUUGUAUUUUACAAUGUUAUCUCCUUUUAUCAGAUGUCGAUUUUAUUGUUGAUACUUAUUGGCAUCGAAUGUUGCCAUUUUUAAGGUAAUGCUUGUGUCUCUCACUGGUCGAUUCCAGUUGUUGCUUGAAAUCUGUCAGGUUGAAUUGAUGUGAUUUAUUGAUUUUUUAUCCUCCCAUGGCUUCCCCUCAUCAUCUUUCACUUGUCCACCCUUUCCUCUCUCACUAGAAACAGAGAGUUGUGUACAGACAGAAGUAGCAAAGUCUUAGAACGGGCAUUAUCUAUAUCUAGUGUUCGCAUUAGCAUCAUAUAGAAGUAGCCUUUGUGCGCACCUCAGUUAGUAUUCAGCUACAAAAAGACUAUAGGGUACCCACAGUCAUCUAUCUUGGCAACACAAAAAGAGAAAGACAAUGAGACAAAAGCUUAACAUAAAUCAAAGCUCAGGACUGGUUAGGUUAAGAACUGUGUCCUCCACAGGACAGCCUGACAUUGUGAAGAGAUGUGACGCGUAUUAGAUCAGAGUAUGAUAUGUCAGUAGUAGCAGGGUAGAAUAGAAGAAGCCUUUGUGGGUUAAGUGUUUUAAAAAUGAGGCAGCACUGUCAGGGAGGGAGAACCUAAAGGGUUAGGGUGGAGGCUGUUCUGACUGCAGCACUGUCAGGGAGGGAGAACCUAAAGGGUUAGGGUGGAGGCUGUUCUGACUGCAGCACUGUCAGGGAGGGAGAACCUAAAGGGUUAGGGUGGAGGCUGUUCUGACUGCAGCACUGUCAGGGAGGGAGAACCUAAAGGGUUAGGGUGGAGGCUGUUCUGACUGCAGCACUGUCAGGGAGGGAGAACCUAAAGGGUUAGGGUGGAGGCUGUUCUGACUGCAGCACUGUCAGGGAGGGAGAACCUAAAGGGUUAGGGUGGAGGCUGUUCUGACUGCAGUGAAUCUCAGUCCAUGAAUUUAGAGCUUUUCCUGGCAACCCAGACUCCUUGCUCUGGCCAAAUGUUGUGCUACUGCCAUUUGUUUCUUCUCUGCAAGGAGUCUGGAAUCUCCAGGAGAUGGAUAUAUUGUCUAAAUUAUCUAAAACAUUCUGAUUGGUCCUAGAAACUGAUGGGUUCCCUCUGAUAGGUCCAAGAAAUGGAUGGGCUGGACCAGAGCCAUGAGAAAAGAGUGAACAUGAGAAAAACUAAAUGUCAAAACGGCUUCUGUAGAGCUCUGAUUGGUCAGAGAUCAUCCAGUUGCUGAUAACUGUUUUGCACUCCCCUCAUUUCGAUGUCACCUGAAUGACUUCAGACUAGAAUAUGUUGUUAAUGCCCGUGAAGCAGAAUAUUCGUUUGAGGCACAAAUGAAUACCACCAUUUUACAGAAUAUUAGGAUUUGAAUGUUAUAUUCACCUUCAGAAUUGAUAGAAUAUAAAUGGAAUUCACCCCGCCACGCCCACACUGGUACUCAGCCCCCAGAGUUGUUUGUACCCAUAGUGUCUUUAUCUUUGUAUAUGACACUGUUGCCCAAACACAAACUACCAAAUGACUCUCAUGUUCUCUCAUCCUUCCUUGAUCUCUCCAGAAUCCUUUCCCUUGAUCUAGUGCUUUGGGUGUCUGUUUUUAAUUUCUUUAAGAAUUCUUCUUAGGCCAGUUAUUGGUCCAAAAUAUUCUGUACAGUUGUAAAGUUUUGACCUAUUUCAAUCUGCAUGGGCUUUCCAUUGCAAGCAAUAAGGAAUCGAUGUGUCUGUAUCUUUAGUCAGGAAACGUGAUUUGAUAAGACAUGAGAUUUGAUCGUAAGCUUAAUGAAUGUGUACAUAGUUAUAGUAUAUAAAAAGUGUAUAUGAAUGUGUUCUACGCACAUCCAUAUAGAUGACCAGCAUGCUAUUAGGGGAAAGAGCACUUACCUCUACUGUUUUCUAUCAGAAGAGUGGGGCUUAUAUAUGCAUGCUAUGAUGCAAAAAGAUGGAAGAGACCAUUGUUACUCUAGCAGGGUUGGGGGGGGUGUUUGGGAAAUCCAUUUUUUACAAUUGUAGGGAAGGGGUAAGUAGUGGUCUCUUGUAGCUGUUAUUUCUUAUAGACCUAACUAGACUAACUGGUAAUAAUAUUUACCUUACCAUUUACUUUUUUGUUAUCUUUUCACAGAGAACUAUUCUGAGAGCCCUGUGCUCAUCAGAUAUAUGCAAAAAGAAGCAGUAACUGUGAAUUAAUACUAGAUGGGGAAAAAGAACAAUCUACUUCGUCUCUUUUUUCACAAUGGCAGGAACAUGAGUGCCCAUAACUCAAUUUCUGCCUUUGACAACCACAUCGGCCAAAGCCAGCCCCAAUCUUACCCACUUUUCUACACACUCCAUAAACCUCUGUUGAACCUUUCUGUUUUUCCAUUCUGUCCUGUCCUGUAUUGUCCCUCUUCCACUUGAAAUGACAGGGCUUUAACUUCUUAAAGGAACAUAAGUUACUUUUGAGUAGCUUACAAGUGACCCAAACAUGCUGCCCUAAGUGGAGGGGAAACCCUCACAACGUAUGCCGUUUUGUUCCCUCCAGAAAUCAUCUAUAGGACAUCUACAGUGGGGUGUAGCGGUAAUCAGUGACCACGAGGAGUAAGAAAACAGAGUCACAUUGAAAUAAACCUCUUCCCCCGCAUUACAGAUUUAUGACAGAGUCAUGAUGGCAGAUAGCAAAAUAAAUCUCAUCUGUCUUUAACACUCUAAGGAUGGACUGUACUUUCUCUAGAGUUCAAAAGUGACCACCACUAGGCUGUGGAAACACCUGACUCCUUCUGCUGCGUAUAUGUGCAUCAUUUACCUUUUCAGCCUUAGGAUGCAUCUGAAAUGUCUAGGUUUUGAAAUGGCCCCCUACUGCCCAGGCCACUUUGGACACUGUCCUUAUAAUAAGAAUGGAAAUAGUCAAUAAUGAGUGUUCUCCCAUGAAAUAGUCCAGAAUGUGUGUUUCCCUAUUGAUUCCCCCAUGUUGGGACAGGAAAGGGUUGUCUUUAAACACAGCAAAAGGUCAACAGAUCAGUUGAGUGAAUUCUGAUUCUGUUAUGUGGGUCAUUGGUGGUGGAGAAGUUAAGGGUGUCGCUGGUGGAUGAUGUUCAUGUUUUCAUGUUAUCAUGCUAUCAUUUGUCAUGUUUCAUGUUUUCAUGUUAUCAUGCUAUCAUUGGAUCAUUGCUUUAAUGCAUAUGUAGUUACCUGUAAAAAAUAAAAACUUGUUCCAAAGAUGCUUCAAAAAGUAGGUCCAAACUAGCAAGAUUGAUUUUAAGAUGAUACAAUUUAGGAUGUUUGUAGCCUAGCCAAUUGAUGUACAAGUUAAUGUAAUAUCAUAGACACACUGUUCUUGACUACACCUCCCACUCUUCCCUCUUCUUCAUUUUUACCUGUUACUUCAGGCUUCAUUCACAACUCAGGUAUAUAUAUAUCUCUCUCUCUCUAUGUUGGUUGAAAUCAGUGCUUCCAGACAUUUUUGUCUAACAGAGCCGGACAGAGAGAAGGUUUGAAAUGUUCUGCUUCCUCUGCAGUUUGUGCAUACCUGUAAAUAUUGUGUGUUCUGUGUCCUCAUCCCUUGUUUUACCCCAUCUCGCCCUUCUCCAAUUGUUGCUUCUUUUCUAUUUUGAGAUGUGCCAUCUCUACUGCGUCCAUUACAAAAACCAAAAAUAACAGACUUUGGGGGAGAAAUUAAAUGACCACCACCAUAACGUGAACUCCAUCUUCCCUAAAGUGGAUUGCAAACGACUCCAGAGCAUAGAAGUGGACAGAAAGACUGUCAGGUGUUGCAGAUAUUGUUUUUUUCAUGCAGGGGAGGGGAGGGGGGGGAUAGGAACUGUAUAUACAUUUUUUUAAAAGAAGGUUUGUCAACAAAGGAAGAACCAUGAAAUGGAGGACAGUUUGGGGAAGAAAGAACAAAAACUAAAUGAGAGGAGGAACAAAGCUGGUCGCUUCUCAGUUGUUGAGUUUCUAAAAUCACCCUUUCUCUCCAAGAAGAGGGACAACCCUUAGGACACAAUUCACCCAGCGCCCCCUACUGGAUUUACUGUAGGCUGAAGGGAGACGUAGUUGGAGAGAGAAAGAGAGAGAGAUCUGAAAGGACGAUGAGAGGAGGAUGGAUGAAAAACUGACUGGAAGAGAUUAGUUGAUCUCUUGUUCCUGUGGACUGCUCAAUCUGCACCCUCCCUAUGAAACCUGACUCUGACUACCUGGAGAAAAAAAACACACUGAAACCCAUUCCUUAUGUCACCCUAUUCACACCUUAUAUCACUGUACUUCAGUCGUAAUAUGCUAAGUCAUUGCUAAAGAAAUUCCAAAUCAAUCAAACAAUAUCACAAAAGUUCCCUAAAACAGAACAAAAGGAACAUGGGACAGUAGAACAACGUUCCACAACUUGGUUGUCGUCCCAAUAUACCAUUAAGAUAAUAUAUGCUCUUGAAGUACAGUACUAUGCCGAAGUUUGGCUAUAUGGGGUAGGCUAUACAAACUAGCUGCAGCUGCAUUCUGAGAUUACACAGCAUUGUCAGCGUGGGUGGGACUCCUGAAAAUAAGAGCCAGGUGCUUGCCAAUGGCUAAAUUGACACACAAGCAUUUCUAUCUGUUAGGCGGCCAAACUAUGCAAAGCUUUGAGUUUGAACGACCACUGUGUCAGUCCACUGACUCGAGUCAGUUCACUGAGGUGGCAAUACCUACGUUCAGUCAGUCACACCUUUGAUUGACAACUCUUUUCUUAACUUCCACAAGAGACGCACUUUCCGAAGGUGGUGAAUUACAGUGGCUUAUGGAGCAACCAGACUCAUUUAAGAUACCAUGCCACUUGCCAUUUCAUACAAAGGCGUGUCUGACAAUACAAUAACUGACUGACUGACUAUGACUGAUGUUACAUGCAAGAGGGUGCCGUCUGAACUUGAGGAACCUACUCAUCCACAAAGGCCCAAAUACAACCUGAGUAUACUUGUGUGUGCUGAAGAGUUGAGGAGGAAACCAAUGGAGAGAGACACUGGAACAUGACCGCAACGCAAACGCUGUGACCAGAAGCGACUGCUUGGGAAACAAGGACAUACAGGACAUCGCCCUCUCUUUCUCCAUCUCUCCCUCUCUUUACCUCUGCCCUUCUGCAUCUCAGCAUCGCGCCUCCUCCGUAGCAAACUGCAUGGCAUGAACGAAAAUACCUGAAGAACGAAACCUACCGAACUAAAGAAUGAAGAGGGCGAUCAGAGAGACUCUUCAAACCAAACAAAUGAGGAAUCAACCUUGUUCAAAAAGAUCUGAUUGGUAACUAUCAGCAAGGGUCAACUUGACAACCGGUCUGCUGCUUGUUGAGAGAGUUUACUGUAAGGAUCUUUCUCCUCUCUAUAGGAAGUAGGAAGAUCAGAUCUGGGGGUUUUAGAAAGGUUCACAAGAAGUGCGGGAAAAGAGCGUGAAGAGGGUGAACUUUGAUGAACUAUUCCGGCAAAAGAAGUGGAAAAAUUGGGAAAUGCAUUUUUAUUACUUUGUUUACCAGCAUGACUAUUCUGCAUGACUCUACUUCUGCAAGCCCUAACCACCCCGCCUCCCCACCAAAAAAGAGGGCUAGGAAUAAAAAAAAAAGAACAAAAUCAAGAUGAAACUAAAAAGAUUUAUGUUAUAUGCAACUAAUAAAAAAAGCAGGAUUCUAUAAAAAAGGAGAUCUAUAUUUUGUUUUUGGAUAAUAAAAAAGGAAUAACGAAAAAAAUAUAUAGGAUUGCAAGAUACACAUUCAAUGAACUAUGUUUUCUUAAGAAACAAACCCCACAAAUCUUCCAGAGAUGAACUGUGAGGACCUUCCCCUGAUACUACUAUGACUACUCGCUCUGCUUUUUCUUCUACUACUGCUCACUCUCUGGUCCUACCGCCCCAAUGGCGCCCCCUGCUGCCAGUUCUCUGUGUCUUCCACCCUGCUGUCCAUUCAGGCCCCCUUUUCACUGUUCCAUCUGUCUGCAUAACUCUGUUUAGUUGGACUGUUCUUAGAUUAGAGGGUGGUAUUCACUACGAUAUGAACAAAGGAAAAUGGGACCGAUCGGGGACGGACUAUACCUGAACUUGCUCAAUGAGAAAUGUGGACUGUGCUCAAAUGGAUAUGACCAUGCUUUUGUUUUUCUUUCAGCCUUGUGCUUAAGAUGUUUGCUUCACCACUGGGGCCCUGGUGUAGACCCUAUGAGGUAAUAGUAAGGUAGCAUAGCGUUACCUAGCAGACAGUUUGUUAGCCAUGAACACACUCAGCCAGGACACACAAUAAAUCAGCACUGAUUACUUCAAGUAGCCCGGUAAUAUUAAUUUAUUUUCCUAGCUAGCUAGGUUGCUCCUGUAGCACUGGACUUAGUGGCCAUAGACAGCUCUUUCUUCCCUCAGACCUGAUACAUUAGUUCUGUGUGAUAAUGUCCUGCAGUCUUAUCUUCAUUAUUACAGGGAGGUGCAUAAUGUAUCAUUUUGGCAUUAAACACAUUCCUCCGCUCCCUGAGAGAAACUAGUUCCAGGUCACUAACUCUGCAGACAGUUGACCGUGUAUGUUUUACGCACGCUGGCGCCCCUAGCCCCUGGAGAAGCAGUCAUCUUUGCGCCAUUUUCUCAGAUGGGGUCAGCAUUGCCAGGAAAACGGCUGCUCAAAGACAUGUGAAUUUAACACCACACUCUGUGCAAAAUAUGUUUAAAUUGUUGUGGUGUCUGUAAAUGAACAGAAGCUCUUGUUGACGUUCCACCACCACUGACUGCCCUGCAGUAUGGCUGGAUGCAUUGCUAUAGCGUCGUUACCACACCCUCAGCAACAGAAACCAGUUUUCACUUUUUCCCUUCCAUGUUUCUUUGGCAAGUGAAAACCGUUGUGUCAUGUUGCCCCGGUAAACCUGUGUGUGUUGUCGUGCAGGUCAUUUCACGCCAGUCACCGCAAACCCUUAGCUAAGCCUACGACAGAGUUUAGCUCGUCUCCAGUAGCCUCUUGUUCUGCCUCUCCUGGGGUGCCGGUGUGAUGUGUAGGAUGUGGUUUAUCCCCAGAUAAGAGGGCCACGAUCUGAGCCAUGGCCUAGUUACUGGUAACAUUCUGAUCAAGCAGAGUGUCCCAGCAGGGCAGGGUUCAUCUCAGGGCUGUUAAUUAUUAAUCCAGCGGGGAGAAGAGAUUUUCAAUGGAUGUCACUUUUUACCGUUUCAAAUUCCAUUUGGGUUACAUUCAUUUGCGUGUUACCUUUUUUAUCACGUGCUCACUUGUGUUCACUUGCCAAAAUCAGACAGUUUGUUUGUGGGUUUGUUUAUUUGGUGUAACACAAUGAUAGAGAUUUUGAUGAUGUUCCAGAGAUGCUGAGUGAACUGUACUCAGAACUGAGCAUCUACCUAUGCAAGAGUUUGUAGCAUCCGAUUAUAAUUCAAUAUAUCAUCGUGCCAAAGGAGUUCAGUGUAUUGGGUCUGUCGUGUGUGGGAGGGCAAGAACAGGGCAAAGAAGGGGUUGGGGGAAACAGAGGCAGCUACUUCAUCUAGCAUGAUGCAUUGUUUACUGAAGUAAAUGGGAUUGGGGGGACCCUGGAGUUUGCCACUUGGGAGAAGUACAUGAACUCAAAGUUUCCAUUGUAUUCACUGGAUCUACUUCAUUCAUCUUAUGUUUGAAUCCUGCUACCAGACUCCCCGUUUCACAUAUCCCCCUCUCCUUCCAUUCAACUCCUCUCGCUUUCUAAAAAGUGUUAUUGGGGCACGGUGUCUGUUACCAAAAUUACAAAAAGUUUCAGUUGAGAGAGACAUAUGGAAGCAUUUCUCGCUGCAAGACGUUUCAUUCUGACAAUGGAAAUGACUGUAGGUUAGAGAAGGAUAGAGUGCCAGGUCAGUGGGAAGAAAAAAGGGGACGACCACAACUGGCACAAACAGUGAAAGAUAUGGACAGAUCAUACACCCCCACACCAUCCCUCUGGUAGAACACCUAGGCACAGAUCAUGCACCCCCACACCAUCCUUCUGGUAGAACACCUAGGCACAGAUCAUACACCCCCAUACCAUCCUUCUGGUAGAACACCUAGGCACAGAUCAUACACCCCCACACCAUCCUUCUGGUAGAACACCUAGGCAGAGAUCAUACACCCCCAUACCAUCCUUCUGGUAGAACACCUAGGCACAGAUCAUACACCCCCAUACCAUCCUUCUGGUAGAACGCCUAGGCACAGAUAAUGGAAAUAUUGAUGUUUCAUUACAUUGGAGGGGGAGGAGGGACUAUUGUCAUAGCAAUAAUUUGUUCCAAACCCUUGAUUUUGUGGGCCAGUCCCAUGCCAUGUCCCUAAACUUGUUAAGUAACUUUAAACCUAACUUUUAACCUUUAAAAAAAACACAGCAGGUAAGAAGUAGUAACUCUUUUUUAGAAAAGCAGCUAUUGAUUAAUUUGUCAUGUUUCCAUCAUGAUUCAGAAGCAUUUUUACCAACUCAUGUACUACUGGUGGAUCCUGAGCUGGUACCAUUGAACAACCUCCACAUGUGAAUGACUGGCCUACCGCAGUUGUCGGUUCCACAAUGUCAGUGAUAAUGUGUCAGGGGUAGUGUGUGACCCUGCUCCUGAACUUGAGCCACGCCCAUUUGAGAGGAAUGACAGCUCAACACUUGCAUAACUUUACUUGAAACCCAAAUACGAAACAUAUCAAGAGAGAAGCCGAGUAAAGCCAGAAAACCCCGCUGUCACGUAUUCUCUCUUACCCCCCGUCUUCCUCCCUCCCCCCUGUCUCCUAGCCCCCUCUCCUUCUUUCCCUCCUCCACACAUUUUUUGAGGAAGAAGCUCUUUUUGCAUCCCUGUUCUUGUGUUUUUCUAACAUAUUGUUUGAAGUUGAAUUCUAAUGCAUGCGUGGGAGAAAAAAAAGUAAAAAAUAUAACUUAUUUGUGAAUGGCCAGAAUGAAGUAACUCUCUUUUCGCCAGCAAUCUCUGUCUUCCUCUUUCUCUCUCAGCCAGUGGUGAGAGGACUGGGGGGCGGGGGGAAUAUGCAAAGUAAAAUGAAUUAACUAUUAAAAAAAAGAAAAAAUAUUUUUCUAUAUAGCUGUUUUACCUUCUUUUGUUUCAUUAUUUUGUUUUGUGUGGCUUGAUUGAAUUGGUAGGAAUAUAUUGGCUAUAUGUAUGUGAAUUGCUCUUGAAAGGAAAAGGAAGGUGAACUAGGCUCAGUUUCAUGAGUCCGAUAUUGUCACUGAUACACGUAAAACAUCUGGGAGAUCUCAGCAGUGCCAGUAUUAUAGCACCGGUCUGUCCCUUCUUUUACAUUGUUACGUGUGCACCUGUCCUAAACAUCGAUACAUCUUCACCCAUAGACCGACGCAUCAUGUAGCCUGUCACUUCAAAGAGUAUAACAUGUAUCUGUUUGGAUGCACAUCAUUGUUAUUCAUUUUAUCUGUGGUUCUCUGUUUUUAUUUUCUUCUUUUAUUCCUUUUUCUUAGCAUCUGCUGCCUUUUUUUGACCGAUUUAUUGGUUUGACUGCUGAUUUGUGUUGUACCUUUUUACAUUUGAAAAGUUACAUUGCACUAAAAACGGCAAUGCAGCUACCAUUUCUACUCGUCCUCUCAACUGUUGUGCUAUGACUACAUUGUCGCCAGCGAACAAGGCACUGGGUGCUGCCAUGCAACUUUCCUAUCAGGGGCAGAAGAGAGGGAAGACAGAGAUGGAGGAAGAGAAGGUUACUACAAUAACACUGAAUGGGGUUUAUGCUGUAAAGACAGAUGCUGGAUACAAUUUUAAUGUCAUAACACAGGAAAAUAAAAAAAACGAAUCAAGAACUGUAUAAAAUAUAUUUCAAUGGAAUGUUUAUUAUUUACCUUUUAUAUUUUUGAAACAUGUAAAGAAAAAAGAUGAAUAAACAGUAAUAAUUUAA